GGGGGGGGUGACUGGCUAUGGUGGUAAACAACAGCACAAGAAGGGCAUUCAGUGCUGCUCACUUUAAUGAUGCAAACUUCAUCUGCAUACUGCAGUUCUUCUGACCCAAAGUGCAAUUUAGGCCAGUUUAGGGCAGCUGUGGCCUAAUGGUUAGAGAAUUGGACUUGUAACCAGAAGGUCACAGGUUCAAGUAUCAGUGCUGGCAGGAGUUGUAGGUGGGUGGGGAGUGAAUGAACAGCGCACUCUUCUACCCUCAAUACCUAUGGCUGAAGUGACCUUGAGCAAGGCACUGAACCCUCAGUUGCUCCCCGGGCGCUGGAUAUAGCUGCCCACUGCUCCGGGUGUGUGUUCACGGUGUGUUCACUUCUCACUGUUGUGUGUGUGCACUUGGAUGGGUUAAAUGCAGAGCACCAAUUCCGAGUAUGGGUUACCAUACUUGGCAAAGUGGAUUAUUUUCACUUUCACCUUCAAUGUGAAAAGAGACCAGCGGGUGCAGAGGAUAGUGGUGGAAUUAAGCUCAAGUUCAGAACAAAUAAUCGAAAACAGCCUAAUAGUCACCAAAAUGUGUAACGGACUGCACUGGCUGCCUGAUCUCAACAGAUCGAUAGAAAUGAAAUGCAUUGACUCGAGUGGUGGAUACAAACUCAAAUAUGCUUAUUGGCCAGGCCAUAUGCUGAAGCACGCGGUUUGAAAACCUGCCAUGCUGGUGUUGGAAUCGCAUUAUUUUCAUCUUCUCCUCCUAUUUUGCUGCUGUCACCGGCAUAGGGGUCAUGCCCAUCACAUCACACGCCGUCUGUGGAAUAUAGUCUAGUGCUCUGUGAAGAGGUGUGCCAAUGCAUGUCACAUCAGAUUGUGCGUGUAUCAUAUUCACAACAGCAAAGCUAAACUUACUGGAUCUGACAGCGCAGACAUUCGCGGAUGUGUCAAACAAUGCAUCUUCUACUUUGCUGGUUUGCGCUUUGACAAUUUCUUCCUCCUUGACAUUUCUCUAACCCCCUACUGUUCCUGAUGUGAACAAACACAUUGCCAAUCUAAUAUGGGGAAGUGUGAAAGAGAGAUUGUGACACAAAUAAUAUAUUAUUAUUAUUUGUAUCGAUAUUCACAUGUGUGGUAGAACAACUUUUUAUGUCGUUGGUUUUUGAUCAGUCAUUCGUCAUAGUUCGGUGCAGUAUUUUUCAUUCGGAGUGAAACAUAUCGCACUGCCAGAAGCUCAGACACCUUCAGGCUUCUGUUGACUGACCUUCUGCCAAAAACAGCACCCUGUCCCACAAGGCCUGGCGUGACAAAUCGAGAGCCCCUCAGGACUGCUAAACUACUUUCUCAGGAGUGACACUUUAGGUGACUGGACUCAAAAAGAACCAAAAAGCUGAAAUGAUAAACACACAAAAACAUUUCGCAGCUGAAACACAGGGUUCAGUGUUGUAACCACAUUUGGGUGAAAGUUUUUAUUUUCAUGUUCAUGCUCAUAUGUAAAGAUGCAGUUCAUGACUAGAUUGUGUGACAUACUGGAGGUCAUAAAUUAUGUUUUUGUCAUACAGUACAUAUGUAAACUAUGGUAGAAUGUUUGAUAGUACAACUUGGUCUCGUAUCAUGCUAGGAUGCAAUGCCCAUUGUUCAUGAUCCAGUGAGUUCCCAAUGGAUAAAAUCAAGUCACAAUCAUUGUUGUUAUCAUUUAUUAAUAAUAAUGUUGAAAUGUUGAAUUGAAUUGAAUUGAAUUGAAUUGAAUUGAAUUAAAUGGCUCCCUUAUAAAAAUGAUUGUUUGUUUUAUUCCUGAAUAAAUCAGUGUGCUUGAAUAAACCA
ensembl:lncRNA